GACGUAGGGCGCGAGCGUUGUCCGGAUUUAUUGGGCGUAAAGAGCUCGUAGGCGGCUUGUCGCGUCGUCUGUGAAAUCCCGCGGCUCAACCGCGGGUCUGCAGUCGAUACGGGCAGGCUAGAGUUCGGUAGGGGAGACUGGAAUCCUGGUGUAGCGGUGAAAUGCGCAGAUAUCAGGAGGAACACCGGUGGCGAAGGCGGGUCUCUGGGCCGAUACUGACGCUGAGGAGCGAAAGCGUGGGGAGCGAACAGG
rnacentral:rRNA from 1 species